rnacentral:rRNA from 1 species
AGGGUUUGAUUCUGGCUCAGGACGAACGCUGGCGGUGCGCCUUAUGCAUGCAAGUCGAGCGAAGCUUUUCAGUAGUUUACUACAGAAAAUGACUGAGCGGCGAACGGGUGAGUAACGCGUGAGCAAUCUACCUUAGUUACAGGGAUAGCCCGAGGAAACUCGGAUUAAUACCUGAUAUUCUUUAUAUUUCGCAUGAAAUUAAAAGGAAAGGUCAGCCGAACUAAGAUGAGCUCGCGUUCUAUCAGCUAGUUGGUGAGGUAAAAGCUUACCAAGGCUACGACGGAUAGCUGGUCUGAGAGGACGAUCAGCCACACUGGGACUGAGACACGGCCCAGACUCCUACGGGAGGCUGCAGCAGGGAAUAUUGCGCAAUGAGCGAAAGCUUGACGCAGCGACACCGCGUGUGGGAUGACGGAUCUAGGUUUGUAAACCACUUUCAGGAGGGAAGAAAAUGACGGUACCUCCACAAGAAGCCCCGGCCAACUACGUGCCAGCAGCCGCGGUAAUUC